GGUGGAGCUUGCAGUGAGUAGAGAUCGCACCACUGCACUCUAGCCUGGGCAACAGAGUGAGACUGCAUCUCAAAAAAAAAUUAGAGGGCAGGGAGGCACAUGGCAGUGUCCAGUGUGGGGUCAGCCCCCUAAAGUUCUCUCUUAAUUCAGGCCUCCCCUCCCCUCUCCUCGAGCACUGCCCUCAUCUUUGAACUCAUCACUGUUCCCCAGUUUCUCCCGUACAUCCCAGUCCAGCCCCAGCCUCUGGAGUUAUCUUUCUACACCAUGGAUCUGAUCACAGUACACCUGCUUUACGGAUGUCCAAGCCUCCUCCAUGGACCUACCCUGGCUGGUACUGUGCUGGGAGCCGCUGGGGACCCCAGGCCCUGGCCGGUCCACGCUUCUCAGCCACCCUACACAGGCCACCCAUACGUGCUCCCUUUUAGGGCCUGAACCUUCAAAGCCUCUGUGAGAUACUCCCUGGUUCUGCCUUUCAGCUAUCACUCCCUGCUCCGAGCUCCACACCCUUUACAAAUGUUCAUUAAAGUUAUCUAUAUGGUAUGUUAAUCCAUUUCUGAGAAAAUAAUUUUCUUGGUUCCAUUUCCGUCAACGUUU
rnacentral:lncRNA from 10 species